rnacentral:pre_miRNA from 1 species
CAGGUUCUGUGAUACACUCAGACUCGGACUCUGGAGCAGUCAGUGCAUGACAGAACUUGGG